GAUGAACGCUGGCGGCGUGCCUAAUACAUGCAAGUCGAGCGAACGGACGAGAAGCUUGCUUCUCUGAUGUUAGCGGCGGACGGGUGAGUAACACGUGGAUAACCUACCUAUAAGACUGGGAUAACUUCGGGAAACCGGAGCUAAUACCGGAUAAUAUUUUGAACCGCAUGGUUCAAAAGUGAAAGACGGUCUUGCUGUCACUUAUAGAUGGAUCCGCGCUGCAUUAGCUAGUUGGUAAGGUAACGGCUUACCAAGGCAACGAUGCAUAGCCGACCUGAGAGGGUGAUCGGCCACACUGGAACUGAGACACGGUCCAGACUCCUGCGGGAGGCAGCAGCAGGGAAUCUUCCGCAAUGGGCGAAAGCCUGACGGAGCAACGCCGCGUGAGUGAUGAAGGUCUUCGGAUCGUAAAACUCUGUUAUUAGGGAAGAACAUAUGUGUAAGGAACUGUGCACAGCUUGACGGUACCUAAUCAGAAAGCCACGGCUAACUACGUG
rnacentral:rRNA from 1 species